rnacentral:rRNA from 1 species
UACGUAGGGUGCGAGCGUUGUCCGGAAUUAUUGGGCGUAAAGGGCUCGUAGGCGGUUUGUCGCGUCGGGAGUGAAAUCCACUGGCUUAACUGGUGGCUUGCUUUCGAUACGGGCAGACUGGAGGUAUGCAGGGGAGAACGGAAUUCCUGGUGUAGCGGUGAAAUGCGCAGAUAUCAGGAGGAACACCGGUGGCGAAGGCGGUUCUCUGGGAAUGACCUGACGCUGAGGAGCGAAAGUGUGGGGAGCGAACAGG